rnacentral:rRNA from 1 species
GACGAACGCUGGCGGCGUGCCUAAUACAUGCAAGUAGAACGCAGUUGCGAACGGGUGAGUAACGCGUAGGUAACUGCCUCAUAGCGGGGGAUAACUAUUGGAAACGAUAGCUAAUCCCGCAUACUGUGAGAUGGACCUGCGUUGUAUUAGCUAGUUGGUGAGGUAAAGGCUCACCAAGGCGAAGGUACAUAGCCGACUUGAGAGGGUGAACGGCCAAAAGGGGAAUGGGACCAGGCCCAGGCGUCUUCGGGAGGCAACAAGAGGGGAUCUUCGGCAAUGGGCGGAAGGCUGACCGAGCAACGCCGCGGGAGGUAAGAAGGGUUUCGGGUCUUAAAACUCUGUUGUGAGAGGAGCGGUAACUAAACAGAAAGGGACGGCUAACUACGUGCCAGCAGCCGCGGUAAUUC